CCUACGGGAGGCAGCAGUCGAGAAUCAUUCACAAUGGGGGAAACCCUGAUGGUGCGACGCCGCGUGGGGGAAUGAAGGUCUUCGGAUUGUAAACCCCUGUCAUGUGGGAGCAAAUUAAAAAGAUAGUACCACAAGAGGAAGAGACGGCUAACUCUGUGCCAGCAGCCGCGGUAAUACAGAGGUCUCAAGCGUUGUUCGGAAUCACUGGGCGUAAAGCGUGCGUAGGCUGUUUCGUAAGUCGUGUGUGAAAGGCGCGGGCUCAACCCGCGGACGGCACAUGAUACUGCGAGACUAGAGUAAGGGAGGGGGAACCGGAAUUCUCGGUGUAGCAGUGAAAUGCGUAGAUAUCGAGAGGAACACUCGUGGCGAAGGCGGGUUCCUGCACAUUAACUGACGCUGAGGCACGAAGGCCAGGGGAGCGAAAGGGAUUAGAUACCCUGGUAGUC
rnacentral:rRNA from 1 species